rnacentral:rRNA from 1 species
UACAGAGGUCUCAAGCGUUGUUCGGAUUCAUUGGGCGUAAAGGGUGUGUAGGUGGCGCCGUAAGUCGGGUGUGAAAUUUCGGAGCUUAACUCCGAAACUGCAUUCGAUACUGCGGUGCCUGAGGACUGGAGAGGAGACUGGAAUUCAUGGUGUAGCAGUGAAAUGCGUAGAGAUCAUGAGGAAGACCAGUGGCGAAGGCGGGUCUCUGGACAGUUCCUGACACUGAGACACGAAGGCCAGGGGAGCAAACGGG